CCUACGUGAGGCAGCAGUAGGGAAUUUUCGUCAAUGGGCGCAAGCCUGAACGAGCAAUGCCGCGUGAACGAGGAAGGUCUUCGGAUCGUAAAGUUCUGUUGAAGGGGAAAAAGAGCGGAGAGAGGAAAUGCUUUCUGAUUGAUAUUACCCUUCGAGGAAGUCACGGCUAACUAAGUGCCAGCAGCCGCGGUAAUACGUAGGGGGCGAGCGUUAUCGUGUAUGAUUGGGCGUAAAGGGUGCGUAGGCGGCCUGCUAAGUCUGGAGUGAAAGGUGCCGGCUCAACCGGUACAGGCUCUGGAAACUGGCGAGCUAGAGAGCAGGAGAGGCCGGUGGAACUCCAUGUGUAGCGGUAAAAUGCGGAGAUAGAUGGAAGAACAUCAGUGGCGAAGGCGGCUUACUGGACAAUAACUGACGUUGAGGCUCGAAAGCGUGGGGAGCAAACAGGAUUAGAUACCCCAGUAGUC
rnacentral:rRNA from 1 species